rnacentral:RNase_P_RNA from 1 species
GGCAGCCGGCGAGCCGUCGCUGUUCAGCUUUGGCUGAGCAGAGGAACUUCCCGACUCCCGGCCCGUCCCGAAGGACGGGCGAGGUUGCCCCACGAAACAGUAAGUGGGGGCAUCCGCGGGGUAACCGGCGGGUGACUACAACCGCAACAGAGAGCAGACCCGCCCGCGUUGCGGGUGAGGGGUGAAACGGUGGGGUAAGAGCCCACCAGCGGUCGCAGCGAUGCGGCCGGCUGGGCGAGCGUGCAACCGGGAGCAAGGUGAGGGGGCCAGGCAAGCAGGAUGCAAGAUGCAGGAUGCAAGACGCCAGUGUGUACUACUUGCCUUUUGCUUCUUGCCUCUUGCAUCUUGUUUGUUUGGUCUCACCGCAGCGGCGACGGUGAAGCGGGGUAACGCCCCGCAGGCCAGGAGCCGCCAGGAUGUUCUCCUGAGCAUCCUGAGACAGAUGACGGCCAGAACAGAAUCGGGGGUACGGCCGGCUGCCCUUU